AGCAUCUUGCUUUCCUGGUACUCCUUUCAUAUUUCUGUCAAUCAGUGUAUCCUCCCCGGAGGUGGCAGCUGUUCCCAAGAUGUGUUUCCGUCCCACACUGGAGAAGGAAGCAUCUAUUUUCACAGCUGGAACUGCUUUCCUGUUAGCGUGGCCGUUCCUGGGCAGGUCUUUGUGGGAGCCCUCGGCGAGAUGAGUUUUCCCUGCCAGGUGUCCUGCCAGGCCUUCAGUCCACAGAGAUGCAAAACAGCUAAGGUGGAAGUCGGAAACGGUGGAAAAUUGGAUCUUUGUGUCUGUUUUGCUGAGCAUCUGCUAUGUUCCAGGGGUGGCUCUAGGUGCUGGGGAUACAACUGCGGACCAUGCAAACAAAACACUGCUCUCAUGGAGCUGAGAUUCUAAGGAGGAAAUAAAAGCAGACCCCGGAACCCCACUUCAAACAGCUCCCACCCCUUUGGUGCAUUCUGCCUCACUGCUUUCCCAAAAGGAUGCUCCAAUUUCCACACCCACCAGCAGCGUGUGAGAAUGCCCGCCCAGCCGCCCUCCGCCCAGACGGGCGGUUCAGGCCCUGGACAGCCUCUCUGUCUGCCAGGAGGGCAGGAGAGGGUUUUGUCCGGGAUGCCAGGAUGAUGACCCCGGACCCAGAACCGCAGGAGUGAGUUUUAACAAGCCCGGUUCCCAGAACAGAACCUGCAGAGAAAAAGAAAAGCAAGCAGGAAAAACACUCGCUGCUGGAAAACACACACACAUACACAGAUUAAAAUAAUAUUUGGCA